rnacentral:rRNA from 1 species
UACGUAGGGUGCGAGCGUUAAUCGGAAUUACUGGGCGUAAAGCGUGCGCAGGCGGUUUUGUAAGCCGGAUGUGAAAUCCCCGGGCUUAACCUGGGAAUGGCAUUCGGGACUGCAAGGCUGGAGUACGGUAGAGGGGGAUGGAAUUCCGCGUGUAGCAGUGAAAUGCGUAGAUAUGCGGAGGAACACCGAUGGCGAAGGCAAUCCCCUGGACCUGUACUGACGCUCAUGCACGAAAGCGUGGGGAGCAAACAGG